UAGUCGCAAGCAGGUUGUUAUUCCGUAUCAGCUGGAAGGCUCGUACAGUAAUCUUGUUCGAACACGGAAUCACUGUUGAAGUUAACGACAGCGUAAACUUGAAAAGUGGUGUGCAUUUUUACUUCGCUGGAGUUUUUGGACUAAAACCCGUGAAACAUGUCUUGCUGCAAAGGCCCCGGGUAUGCCUCGCCCCUGGACGCCAUGAGAAACGGCCCGCGGGAGGAGAUCGUCUACAUUCCGUGUAUAAUUCCGCCCAAGGACCAGAGCAAAAGGACGGACUAUCUCUCCACAGUGGACGUCAACCCUGCCUCCAAAACCUACGGACAGGUGAUUCACAGGAUGUACCUGCCGUAUGUCGGAGACGAGAUUCACCACACGGGAUGGAACGCGUGUUCUAGUUGCCAUGACGACGAGUCCAAGUCACGUAACCGCUUGAUCAUGCCGAGUUUGAACAGUGAUCGGGUGUACGUCGUGGACACUGGGACGGACAAAUACGCUCCCCGAUUACACACGACCGUUGAGCCUGAGGAGAUGCACGCGGUGAACGCAUCUACGCCCCACACGACGCACUGUCUUGCUUCCGGCGAAAUCAUGAUUUCAACCAUGGGCGACAAAGACAAGAACAACAGAGGAGGCUUCGUGGUGCUCGACGGGGAGACCUUCCGUAUCAAGGGGAACUGGGAGGUCGGCGGUGGCACGGAGUUUGGCUACGACUAUUGGUACCAGCCCUACCACAACGCCAUGAUCAGCACGGGCUGGGGAAGUCCAAAGGCAUUCUUUAAAGGUUUCGACCCCAAGGAUGUUGAAAACGGCAAGUACGGGCGGCACUUGUAUUUCUGGAAUUGGACUGAACACAAGCUCAUCCAGACGAUAGACCUGGGCCCUACCGGCUGGAUACCCCUGGAGACUCGCUUCCUGCACGACCCCCGUGAGCCCCAGGGUUACGUGGGAUGCGCGUUAAGCUCGACUGUGUUCAGAUUCUUCAAGAAACCCGAUGGCUUGUGGGGAGCAGAGAAAGUGAUCGAUGUCCCUAGUAAGAAAGUGGAGGGCUGGAUGCUUCCGGAAAUGCCCGGCCUCAUCACAGACGUAAUCUUGUCCCUGGACGACCGCUUCCUCUACUUCUCCAACUGGAUCCACGGAGACAUCCGCCAGUAUGACAUCACCGAUAGGCGUAACCCAAAACUUGUCGGACAGGUUUGGCUGGGCGGAAGUAUCUGCAAGGGCGAGGGAGUCCGUGUUAUCGAUGACCCGGAACUCAAGAGCCAGCCGGAACGGCCAUUAAUCAAGGGGAAGCCGAUCGUGGGAUCGCCUCAGAUGUUACAGCUUUCACUGGACGGCAAACGCCUAUAUGUGACCACUUCUCUCUUCACGCCCUGGGACAAACAAUUCUACCCGGACAUGUGCGAGAAAGGUUCCAUGCUCCUGAUCGUGGACUGUGACACCAAGAAGGGCGGCAUGUCCCUCGACACGAACUUCCUGUGUGACUAUGGCAACGAGCCCGGCGGUCCCGUCCUCGCUCACGAGAUCCGCUACCCCGGGGGAGACUGUACUUCCGAUAUCUGGCUCGCUGAGCCGGAAACUGCGCAGAAAGCGUAAAUGUUCAGCUGAGUUGGAAAUGACGUCAUGAAAAUAUAACACAUGAUGACGUCAUCACACCAUUGAACACUUCACGUCGGCAACCACGAUUUGAAGUUAAUUCUUACUGGAUAGAGAUCAUUUAAAAUAAAGAAGAAGAAAAAAGCUACUAGAACGCAUGCGUUGUAUGUGUUUUUUUAUGAAACUCUUAAAAAACUUGAAUAUUUCCAGUGGACAUAGUCGAAGUCAACUAAGGCAUGAAGAAAUGUUAGUUUCCACAAACACGACCGACCCUAUUUUCCCCGUAGUUUUUUUUGUAUUUCGUAAUUCCCUAAAGGAAUUUUCCCCUUUUAUAUUUUAAAAUAUCUACAAAAGGGACGCACCCUGAUAUAGUUCGAUUUUGAACAGAAUCCCUGUUCUCAAAAAACAAACAAAAAAAAACUGAAAAAAAAAACUACCUACCAUAUUUUAUUUGGAGACGUUAGUGGAAGUCAAACUAAGAAGUUUUUGGGGGCCCUAUGUUCUGAACUGCCAAAAUUUGGAUCAAACGUGUUCUUAGUUAAAUUUUCACAUCCAACGUUCAAACAAUUGUGCGAUCAUAGUUUGUUUCCAUGUGUUGUCUUCGUGUGCAAGUAUGCAUCUAAACAAAUGACCACCAGGAUGUUUUAUAUUAUGUUAUAUAUAAUCAGUAAUUCUAUAGCCCUUUAUUGUGUUACAAGGUAGUGUAUAGUCUUUUUUAACUAUCAUACCACUUGGUACUUUUAAAAGUAUAUUGUAUUAUUGUUUUUUGUCUUAAAAAAAAACAUAACAAUAAAUAGCUUACAAAGUAUUGAAUUAUUUUCUCCAUUAUUUUAAUAGCAUAAUUAUAUGUAACUAUAUUUUAAAGAUAUAACAAUGAAUAGCUUAUAAAGUAUUGAUUUUUUCCCAUUAUUUAGCAUAAUUAUAUGUAACUAUAUUUUAAAUAUAUUACAAUAAAUAGCUAACAAAG